ensembl:snRNA U4 U4 spliceosomal RNA
AGCUUUGUACAGUGGCAAUAUCGUAGCCAAUGAGGUUUAUCUGAGGCACGAUUAUUGCUAAUUGAAAACUUUUCCCAAUAGCCCACCAUGACGACUUGAAGUAUAGUAAGCACUGGCAAUGUUUGAGUCUCUACAGAGA